rnacentral:rRNA from 1 species
AUUGAACGCUGGCGGCAGGCCUAACACAUGCAAGUCGCACGAGUGGCGGACGGGUGAGUAAUGUCUGGAAACUUCCCGAUGGAGGGGGAUAACUACUUGAAACGGUAGCUAAUUCCUCAUACCAUCCGGUGGUCCCAGCUGGGAUGAGCUAGUAGGUGGGGGAACGCCUCACCUAGGCGACGAUCCCUAGCUGGUCGGAUCGGAUGACCAGCCACACUGGAACUGAGACACGGUCCAGACUCCUACGGGAGGCAGCAGUUGGGAAUAUUUCACAAUGGGCGCAAGCCUGAUGCAGCCAUGCCGCGUGUAUGAAGAAGGCCUUCGGGUUGUAAAGGACUUUCAGCGAGGAGGCGUUACUCGCAGAAGAAGCACCGGCUAACUCCGUGCCAGCAGCCGCGGUAAUUC